CAGCGCCACAAGUGGGAGCCGAUUUUAUUGGGCCUAAAGCGUCCGUAGCCGGUUUAGUAAAUCUUUUGUGAAAUUGUUAGGCUUAACUUAACAACGUGCAGGAGACACUGCUAAACUAGGAACCGGGAGAGGUCAGGAGUAUUCUGAGGGGAGCGGUAAAAUGCGAUAAUCCUUAGAGGACCACCUGUGGCGAAGGCGUCUGACUAGAACGGAUUCGACGGUGAGGGACGAAGGCCAGGGGAGCAAACCGGAUUAGAUACCCGAGUAGUCC
rnacentral:rRNA from 1 species